GAUGAACGCUAGCGGCGUGCCUAACACAUGCAAGUCGAACGUGAGAGGGUACUUGUAUCCUUGAAAGUGGCGGACGGGUGAGUAAGACGUAGGUGACCUGCCUCGAAGUGGGGGAUAACCAUUGGAAACGAUGGCUAAUACCGCAUAAGCUGGUGAUGAUGGGAAUUGUUAUCAGGAAAGCUUUAGUGCUUUGAGAGGGGCCUACGGCCGAUUAGCUAGUUGGUGAGGUAAAGGCUCACCAAGGCGAUGAUCGGUAGCUGGUCUGAGAGGACGAUCAGCCACACGGGAACUGAGAGACGGUCCCGACUCCUACGGGGGGCAGCAGUGAGGAAUAUUGGGCAAUGGGCUAACGCCUGACCCAGCAACGCCGCGUGGAGGAUGAAGGUUUUUGGAUUGUAAACUCCUUUUGUGGGGGAAGAGUGAGGACGGUACCCCAAGAAUAAGUCACGGCUAACUACGUG
rnacentral:rRNA from 1 species